UAAUCUGCGAUAAGCGCCGGUAAGGUGAUAUGAACCGUUAUAACCGGCGAUACCCGAAUGGGGAAACCCAGUGUGACUCGUCACACUAUCAUUAACUGAAUCCAUAGGUUAAUGAGGCGAACCGGGGGAACUGAAACAUCUAAGUACCCCGAGGAAAAGAAAUCAACCGAGAUUCCCCCAGUAGCGGCGAGCGAACGGGGAGGAGCCCAGAGCCUGAAUCAGCAUGUGUGUUAGUGGAAGCGUCUGGAAAGGCGCGCGAUACAGGGUGACAGCCCCGUACACAAAAGCGCAUGUGCUGUGAGCUCGAUGAGUAGGGCGGGACACGUGGUAUCCUGUCUGAAUAUGGGGGGACCAUCCUCCAAGGCUAAAUACUCCUGACUGACCGAUAGUGAACCAGUACCGUGAGGGAAAGGCGAAAAGAACCCCGGCGAGGGGAGUGAAAAAGAACCUGAAACCGUGU
rnacentral:rRNA from 1 species